rnacentral:rRNA from 1 species
AUUGAACGCUAGCGGGAUGCCUUACACAUGCAAGUCGAACGGAGUGGCGAACGGGUGAGUAAUGUAUCGGAACGUGCCCAGUAGCGGUGGAUAACUACGCGAAAGCGUAGCUAAUACCGCAUACUAUGGGAACGGGCGAUAUCGGAUUAGCUGGUUGGUGGGGUAAGGGCUCACCAAGGCGACGAGCCUGAGCUGGUGUGAGAGGACAAGCAGCCACACUGGGACUGAGACACGGCCCAGACUCCUACGGGAGGCAGCAGUGGGGAAUUUUGGACAAUUGGUGAAACCCUGAUCCAGCCAUCCCGCGUGUGCGAUGAAGGCCUUCGGGUUGUAAAGCACUUUUGGCAGGGAAGCGGUACCUGCAGAAUAAGCACCGGCUAACUACGUGCCAGCAGCCGCGGUAAUAC